rnacentral:rRNA from 1 species
UACGGAGGGUGCAAGCGUUGUCCGGAUUUAUUGGGUUUAAAGGGUGCGUAGGUGGGCCAGUAAGUCUGAUUUGAAAGCAAGCGGCUUAACCGUUUGAUGUGGUUGGAAACUGCGGUUCUUGAAUGGGUUGGCGGUAGCCGGAAUGGGUCAUGUAGCGGUGAAAUGCAUAGAUAUGACCCGGAACACCGAUUGCGAAGGCAGGCUACUACGACUUAAUUGACACUGAGGCACGAGAGCAUGGGUAGCGAACAGG